rnacentral:lncRNA from 13 species
CUCUGGCCAUAGUUCUAAGUUCACAGAAAAUAAUCAAAAACAAAUCAAACUCUAUUUAAUGUUUAGUAUCCCUUCUCCCCUCCAAGCUGCCCCUUCUCCUACUCUCCCAAGUCAGAAAUGUCAGACCCGUAGAACGUUGUUAAUAGCAAACAAUCUGAGAGUACUAAUUUCCACUAAUUCAUGAGAAUGUGAAUGACUUAAACUCCCAAAGGUUGAGAGUGGUUGGAAUAGUUGUUACCUAAAUAAAUAAUGAAUUUGUAGAGCCUUAACACGACAUAAUACAUUGAGGUAAAAAAGAUUCAGAUAAUAUGUAAAGGUUUAUUUUCAGUUAGCACAUGAGAAGAUCAUACCAAUUUAGAUUUUUGCCUCUGAGUCUUUUUAUCUAUAAUGCUUGUGAUUUACACAACUUUCCUAUUCUUAACUUUUUUUUUGCACCACAGAAUCUCUAAAAAGUCCCAUUCAUCUUCAUUGUGGUUCCCAUUUCAGCAGCUGCAAGGCACUGGUGUGUGGGGAAAGUGUGGCAGGAAAGAAGAAUUCCAGGGAACUCAACAUACUUCUCAGGAUCCUUAAGCACAAUCAAUGACAAAGUAGUUUUUUUCCUCUCUGAAAAAAUAAUCAGUGUUAUUCCAGGUAAGGAUUCAAAGAUAUUUGAACAUAUGUGACAAACUAAAAUUAAACUGGACUAAAAUUAAAACUGUGGUUUUAAUUUUAUAUCACACAAAGCAUUUAGAGAGUAUAUUGUUUUAUUUUGGAACCCAAGAAACAGCCUUCGGGAAUGUCAAGAUGCAACUGAGGAAAUAUUUUAAGGGAUUGGGUCCUGUGUUAGAUUGAAACGGAGGCAAGAAAGAUUGAGGCUUUCUAUAUUAAUGACAUUGAGAUCCUUUUACACCAACAGUCUAUGAAGCUUUAGAAAAGAGAGAGAAGCACAAAGCAGUGUAUUCGGCAAGACAUAGAUACAGUAUUUUGUUUUACAUUACACACAAAAAGAUAGUGUGGUGCAAAACCAAACACUGCACAACUCAUUUCUAUAGAUUGCAAUUACACAGACUUGUGUUGAUAUUGUGUGUCUUAUUAUAUGGCUAAACAAUAUCUCUAUUUGAUAAAAAUCUGAAUUACAACUAUCCAUACUAAUGCUCCAAAAUAUUUCACAAUGGAUCUUAUGCUUUCUAAAAUGCAAAACAUUAGAUCUCUCUAGCAAUUAUGAACAGAUUUUAAACAUUUCUUUAUAAUACAUAUUCAUUAUAC